ACGGAAGGCAGCAGUGGGGAAUAUUGCACAAUGGGCGCAAGCCUGAUGCAGCGAUGCCGCGUGAGGGAAGAAGGUUUUCGGAUUGUAAACCUCUGUCAACAGGGACGAAAAUGACGGUACCUGUGAAGGAAGCUCCGGCUAACUACGUGCCAGCAGCCGCGGUAAUACGUAGGGAGCAAGCGUUAUCCGGAAUUACUGGGUGUAAAGGGAGUGUAGGCGGGACUGUAAGUCAGAUGUGAAAUGUACCGGCUCAACUGGUAGACUGCAUUUGAAACUGCGGUUCUUGAGUGAAGUAGAGGUAAGCGGAAUUCCUAGUGUAGCGGUGAAAUGCGUAGAUAUUCGGAGGAGCACCAGUGGCGAAGGCGGCCUGCUGGGCUUUAACUGACGCUGAGGCUCGAAAGUGUGGGGAGCAAACAGGAUUAGAUACCCUGGUA
rnacentral:rRNA from 1 species